UACCCUAUGGAUCGGAAUAACCUCGGGAAACUGAGGCUAAUACCGAAUACCGCUCUCAUCCUGGAACUGGAGAGAGCACCAAACGCUCCGGCGCCAUAGGAUGUGGCUGCGGCCGAUUAGGUAGACGGUGGGGUAACGGCCCACCGUGCCGAUAAUCGGUACGGGUUGUGAGAGCAAGAGCCCGGAGACGGUAUCUGAGACAAGAUACCGGGCCCUACGGGGCGCAGCAGGCGCGAAACCUUUACACUGCACGAACGUGCGAUAAGGGGACUCCAAGUGCGAGGGCAUACAGUCCUCGCUUUUCUGUACCGUAAGGUGGUACAAGAAUAAGAGCUGGGCAAGACCGGUGCCAGCCGCCGCGGUAAUACCGGCAGCUCGAGUGAUGGCCAAUAUUAUUGGGCCUAAAGCGUCCGUAGCUGGCCGAACAGGUCCGUCGGGAAAUCCGCUCGCUCAACGAGCGGACGUCCGGCGGAAACCAGUCGGCUUGGGACCGGAAGACCCGAGGGGUACGGCCGGGGUAGGAGUGAAAUCCUGUAAUCCUGGCCGGACCACCGGUGGCGAAAGCGCCUCGGGAAGACGGAUCCGACAGUGAGGGACGAAAGCUAGGGUCACGAACCGGAUUAGAUACCCGGGUAGUCCUAGCUGUAAACGAUGCUCGCUAGGUGUGGCACUGG
rnacentral:rRNA from 1 species